ensembl:snoRNA SNORD14 Small nucleolar RNA SNORD14
UCGCAAUGAUGAAAGUGAUCCAAAACCAUUCGUAGUUUCCACCAGAGGCUGCAAAUCCAGUGAUGGCCAAAGCACCUUCCUUGGAUGUCUGAGCGA